rnacentral:rRNA from 1 species
UACGAAGGGUGCAAGCGUUACUCGGAAUUACUGGGCGUAAAGCGUGCGUAGGCGGUUUGUUAAGUCCGUUGUGAAAGCCCUGGGCUCAACCUGGGAAUUGCAGUGGAUACUGGCGAGCUAGAGUGCGGUAGAGGAUGGUGGAAUUCCCGGUGUAGCGGUGAAAUGCGUAGAGAUCGGGAGGAACACCCGUGGCGAAGGCGGCCAUCUGGACCAGCACUGACGCUGAGGCACGAAAGCGUGGGUAGCAAACAGGG